GCGACCGUGGUCUAGUGGUUGAUCCAACCCUUCCAAGGUUGAGGGAGGGGUUCGAUUCCCUUCGGUCGCA